GUAGAAAUAGUUUAACUUAAAACACUAGAUUGUGAUUCUAGUAAUAAAGGUUAAAAUCCUUUUUUCCACC
rnacentral:tRNA from 1 species